GAGGGAGGAAAAGGAGGAGGGAGGGUGAUAUUUUCCAUAAAGCCCUUUCCACCCCCCUCCCCUCCCUCUCUUUCUGCCCUUGAGCAUCCCGGGUAAACCCGAAGCUUGUAAAGUGGGAAGAGGAGGAGGAGGGAAGGAGGAGGAGAGGGGGGGGCUGAUCGGGGCGGGCUCAAGCCUUUCUUCAAACUCAAUAUUUUAUACUUUUGAUACUCCCUGACGGUGGAAUUCAUUCCUCUUUUCCCGGCCGAUCCCAGAUCUAGGACACCGCUGAGCCAUCAGUGCGCAGCCAUCUACGCUGGGAUAAAAGAAAGAUUAAAGAAAAAAAAAAGUGUCCGGCGGACUGCAAAUAAGAAUAUAUAUAUAUAUAUAUAAUUUAGAAAAAGCAACAAACAGCGCGCAGGGCAGAUUGAUAUCGGGAGUACAGUGAGGAGACGGCGGCGGGGAGCGAGUACAGUGGAUGAUCGGAGCGGAUUUAUAGUGCUGACUGGCCUCAGAGAGACGCGUGUAAGAACGCUCCAGAUCUACAAGAGGAGCCCAGGCGGUCUGAGCCCCUUCAAUGGAUCUAGCCGGAGACACAGGCGCUGCUGUUUUUACACCUUCCCCUUCCGGCGCCGCUGUUCCGCUGCAGGACCCCGCUCUCUGAAACAUGGAUUCCCGUGAGCAUCUCCCACCCAACUCCCUACAACAUUAUGGUAAAAGUGCACACCGAGAGUCCUCUCUGUAGCGGCACCCGCCCAUCCGUUCCCGUGGAAACCAGCCGUCCCGAGCAACAAACUUCUUCACCUCUGUCUCUCUCUCUCUCGUUUCUCCCCCGGGGGGACGUCAGUGUUUGUCAGGCGACGCUGAGUGAAAGCUGCAUAUCCCACCUGUCUCCUUUCACCUGAGGGAUCCCAAUCAAAAGCUAAAAGAGGCGAGUCCUUU